rnacentral:rRNA from 1 species
GAUGAACGCUGGCGGCGUGCUUAAUACAUGCAAGUCGAGCGAACGGACGAGAAGCUUGCUUUUUUCAUGUUUGCGGCGCACGGGUGUGUAACACGUGUAUCCUCCACUUAUCUUUCUGGUAAAACCUCGGGAAUCCGGCGCUAACCCCGGAUAAUAUCCUGCACCGCAUGGUUCAAUAGUGAAAGACGGCGUUGCUGUCUCUUCUCGAUGCAUCUGCGCUGCAUUAGCUAGUUGGUAAGUUAACGGCUUACGAAGGCAACGAUGCGUAGCCGAACUGCCAGGGUGAUCGGCCACACUAGAACUUGGACGCGGUCCAGGGUCCUACGGGAGGCAGCAGUAGGGAAUCUUCCGCAAUGGGCGAAAGCCUGACGGAGCAACGCCGCGUGAGUGAUGAAGGUCUUCGGAUCGUAAAACUCGGUUAUUAGGGAAGAACAUAUGUGUAAGUAACUGUGCACAUCUUGACGGUACCUAAUCAGAAAGCCACGGCUAACUACGUG